rnacentral:rRNA from 1 species
GAUGAACGCUGGCGGCGUGCUUAACACAUGCAAGUCGAACGGAAAGGCCCAAGCUUGCUUGGGUACUCGAGUGGCGAACGGGUGAGUAACACGUGGGUGAUCUGCCCUGCACUUCGGGAUAAGCCUGGGAAACUGGGUCUAAUACCGGAUAGGACGAUGGUUUGGAUGCCAUUGUGGAAAGUUUUUUCGGUGUGGGAUGAGCUCGCGGCCUAUCAGCUUGUUGGUGGGGUAAUGGCCUACCAAGGCGUCGCCGGGGAGCCGGCCGGAGAGGGUGUACGGCCACAUUGGGACUGAGAGACGGCCCAGACUCCUACGGGAGGCAGCAGUGGGGAAUAUUUCACAAUGGGCGCAAGCCUGAUGCAGCGACGCCGCGUGGGGGAUGACGGCCUUCGGGUUGUAAACUCCUUUCGCUAGGGACGAAGCGUUUUUGUGACGGUACCUGGAGAAGAAGCACCGGCUAACUACGUG